CUGACCUCGGUUCAGACGUGAUUACCCGCUGAACU
rnacentral:rRNA from 1 species